UACAGAGGUCUCAAGCGUUGUUCGGAUUCAUUGGGCGUAAAGGGUGCGUAGGCGGCGCGGUAAGUCGGGUGUGAAAUCUCGGGGCUUAACUCCGAAACUGCAUUCGAUACUGCCGUGCUUGAGGACUGGAGAGGAGACUGGAAUUUACGGUGUAGCGGUGAAUGCGUAGAUAUCGUAAGGAAGACCGUGGCGAAGGCGGGUCGUCGUGGACAGUUCCUGACGCUGAGGCACGAAGGUCAGGGGAGCAAACGGG
rnacentral:rRNA from 1 species